rnacentral:rRNA from 1 species
UACCAGCACCCCGAGUGGUUGGGACGAUUAUUGGGCCUAAAGCAUCCGUAGCCGGCCUUACAAGUCCUCCGUUAAAUCCAGCUGCUUAACAGAUGGGCUGCGGAGGAUACUAUAAGACCAGGAGGCAGGAGAGGCAAGCGGUACUCAAUGGGUAGGGGUAAAAUCCGUUGAUCCAUUGAAGACCACCAGUGGCAAAGGCGGCUUGCCAGAAUGCGCUCGACGGUGAGGGAUGAAAGCUGGGGGAGCAAACCGG